rnacentral:rRNA from 1 species
UACGUAGGGUGCAAGCGUUGUCCGGAAUUAUUGGGCGUAAAGAGCUCGUAGGCGGUCUGUCACGUCGGAUGUGAAAAUCCAGGGCUUAACCCUGGACCUGCAUUCGAUACGGGCAGACUAGAGUUCGGUAGGGGAGACUGGAAUUCCUGGUGUAGCGGUGAAAUGCGCAGAUAUCAGGAGGAACACCGGUGGCGAAGGCGGGUCUCUGGGCCGAUACUGACGCUGAGGUGCGAAAGCGUGGGGAGCAAACAGG